GGAGUAUCGACCCUCUCUGUGCCGAAGCUAACGCUUUAAGUGUCCCGCCUGGGGACUACGGCCGCAAGGCUAAAACUCAAAGGAAUUGACGGGGGCCCGCACAAGCAGCGGAGCGUGUGGUUUAAUUCGAUGCAACACGAAAAACCUUACCAAGGUUUGACAUGUCGGAAGUAGUGAACUGAAAGGGAAACG
rnacentral:rRNA from 1 species